rnacentral:ncRNA from 12 species
AAGGUUCGGGUCUGUGGUUGAAAGCCGAAGCCAGUCGCAGGCAAAGCGGUCCACGUAAGCCAGGGGAAAUUCCCGGUGAGCACGGUGCGGUUUAGACGUAAGUCCGGCCGGACAGACAGUCCGAGAGAGCGGAGUGGGGGCCAGCAAGGCUAUGAGCAAAGCUCCUGCCGGCGAGUGUGGGGUCAAAAACCAGGUCAGCCAAAUCUU